AGUGAACGCUGGCGGUGGGCCUAACACAUGCAAGUCGAACGGCAGCACAGUAAGAUUGUGCUCUUGCUGUUGGCGGGGGGCGGGCGGGUGAGGAGUACAUCGGAAUCUACUUUUUCGUGGGUGAUAACGUAGAGAAAGUUACGCUAAUACCGCAUAUGACCUACGGGUGAAAGCAGAGGAGCUUCGGACCUUUGGCGAUUGAAUGAGCCGAUGUCGGAUUAGCUAGUUGGCGGGGUAACGGCCCACCAAGGCAACGAUCCGUAGCUGGUCUGAGAGGAUGAUCAGCCACACUGGAACUGAGACACGGUCCAGACUCCUACGGGAGGCAGCAGUGGGGAAUCUUGGACAAUGGGCGCAAGCCUGACCCAGCCAUACCGCGUGAGUGAAGAAGGCCUUCGGAUUGUAAAGCCCUUUUGCUGGGAAAGAAAAGCAGCAGGUUAAUACCUGGCCGUUCUGACGGUACCCAAAGAAUAAGCACCGGCUAACUUCGUG
rnacentral:rRNA from 1 species